CAAGUCGAACGAAUGUUUUGAUGGAGUAAUCUAGAUAAGCGUUAGUGGCGAAAGGGUGAGUAAUGCAUAGGUAACGUACCCCGGACACCGGGAUAGCGGCGGUCUUCGGACCUUUAGCGAAAGUGCCGGUAAUACCGGAUGAUAUCUCGAGAUCGCAUGGUUUUGAGAUCAAGGGUUUCGGCCGAUCUGGGAGCGGCCUAUGUCGUAUCAGCUUGUUGGUGAGGUAACGGCUCACCAAGGCAGCGACGCGUACCGGGACUGAGAGGUUGGCCCGGCACAUCGGGACUGAGACACUGCCCGGACCUCCACGGAGGGCUGCAGUAACGGAUCUUGCGCAAUGGGCGAAAGCCUGACGCAGCGACGCCGCGUAUAGGAUUAAGCCCCUCGGGGUGUAAACUAUUGUCAGGGUGAAGAAAGGUCACUUCGGUGGCUUGAUCGAUCCCAGAGGAAGGACCGGCUAAAUUCGUGCCAGCAGCCGCGGUAAUACGAAUGGUCCAAGCGUUGUUCGGAAUCACUGGGCUUAAAGCGCACGUAGGCGGAUCGUUCAGUGUCUUGUGAAAUCCCUACGGCUUAACCGAGGAAUGGCAGGGCAUACUGGCGAUCUUGAGGCAAGUAGGGGUGCAUGGAACUCUAGGUGGAGCGGUGAAAUGCGUAGAUAUCUAGAGGAACGCCUGUGGUGAAAACGGUGCACUGGCCUUGUUCUGACGCUGAGGUGCGAAAGCGUGGGUAGCGAAAAGGAUUAGAUACCCUAGUCCACGCCGUAAACGAUGCCUACUAGGUCUCGGGAGUUCUGACGCUUUCGGGGCCGUAGCAAAAGUCUUAAGUAGGCCGCCUGGGGAGUACGGUCGCAAGGCUAAAACUCAAAGGAAUUGACGGGGGCUCACACAAGCGGUGGAGCAUGUGGCUUAAUUCGAAACAACGCGAAGAACCUUAUCCUGGGUUUGACAUGCAUGGAUGCCCAUCCUGAAAGGGUGUAGGCUGCCUUCGGGUGAAACUUGCACAGGUGCUGCAUGGCUGUCGUCAGCUCGUGUCGUGAGAUGUCGGGUUAAUUCCUUAACGAGCGAAACCCUUAUCGUUAGUUACCAGCGCGUAAUGGCGGGGACUCUAGCGAGACUGCCGGUGUCAAACCGGAGGAAGGCGGGGAUGACGUCAAGUCCUCAUGGCCUUUAUGCCCAGGGCUGCACACGUGCUACAAUGGCGCGGACAAACCGACGCGAUACCGUGAGGUGGAGCAAAUCGGAAAAACCGCGCCCCAGUUCGGAUUGCAGGCUGCAACUCGCCUGCAUGAAGUCGGAAUCGCUAGUAAUCGCAGAUCAGCUAUGCUGCGGUGAAUAAGUUCCUGAGCCUUGUACACACCGCCCGUCAAGUCACGGGAGCUGGGAGUACCUGAAGUCGGGUAGUUAACUUCGGAGACGCCUGCCGAUGGUAAGCCUGGUGACUGGGGCUAAGUCGUAACAAGGUA
rnacentral:rRNA from 1 species